rnacentral:lncRNA from 1 species
ACUCUCUCCAUAAGCAUGCAAGGCAUCUCAUCACGAUAUCAAUGCAUCACAGCGGAAUAAAUUCAAAUAAUUAUUAUUCAACUGAAAUUCAAGUAAUUAAAUCAAAUGUCUUACAUCCAAUAAAAUUUUUUGCUAAAAAUAAAAAUAAUAGAUCUAAGUUCAAUUGAAGUUGACAAUGCAAAUCUCGCUUCUAAAAGCUCUGUCCCAAUAUUUCGUCCCAUACUCGAUAUUAAUUAUCUGAAUCUGAAAAAUAGAAAGAAAGGUAAUGAGCUAGACAGCCCAGUAAGUAACAAAUAUCUCAACUAGAUAAUUCAGAUAUUAUAUAAUUUUUAAGAAUAAUGCUGCAAAUAAACAUAAGAGUAUAUUUCAUGCUGAUUUAAUACAAAUC